CAGUCGCCACGGUAAUACGUAGGGUGCGAGCGUUAAUCGGAAUUACUGGGCGUAAAGCGUGCGCAGGCGGUUGUGUAAGACAGGUGUGAAAUCCCCGGGCUUAACCUGGGAACUGCGCUUGUGACUGCACAGCUAGAGUAUGGCAGAGGGGGGUGGAAUUCCACGUGUGGCAGUGAAAUGCGUAGAGAUGUGGAGGAACACCGAUGGCGAAGGCAGCCCCCUGGGCCAAUACUGACGCUCAUGCACGAAAGCGUGGGGAGCAAACAGGAUUAGAUACCCCCGUAGUCCCUGUCUCUUAUAC
rnacentral:rRNA from 1 species